rnacentral:rRNA from 1 species
UACGAAGGGUGCUAGCGUUAUUCGGAUUUAUUGGGCGUAAAGGGUGUGUAGGCGGCAUAUCAAGUCUAUUGUUAAAGACUCCAGCCUAACUGGAGAAAUGCGGUGGAAACUGGUGUGCUUGAGGAUGGAAGAGAGAAGUGGAAUUCUCGGAGUAGCGGUAAAUGCGUAGAUCUCGAGAGGAACACCAAUGGCGAAGGCGGCUACCUGGCCCAAUACUGACACUCAGGUGCGACAGCGUGGGGAGCAAACAGG